ACAGUGAAGAGUUUGAUCCUGGCGCCGGAUUAACGCUCGCUACAGGCUUAACACCUGCAAGGCGCGGGGUAACGGGGGAGCUUGCUCCCGCCGACGACCGGCGAAUGGGUGAGUAACGCGUAUCCAACCUGGCGAUGGCCCGGGGAUAGCCCUUGGAAACGAGGAUUAAGACCCGAUACGCCAUCAGGCCGCAUGGCCUGGUGGUGAAUCCAGGCAAUCGAUGGGGAUGCGUAUGAUUAGCUUGUUGGCGGGGUAACGGCCCACCAAGGCUACGAUCAUUAGGGGUUCUGAGAGGAAGGUCCCCCACACUGGUACUGAGACACGGACCAGACUCCUACGGGAGGCAGCAGUGAGGAAUAUUGGUCAAUGGACGCAGGUCUGAACCAGCCAAGUCGCGUGAGGGAUGGCGGUCCUAUGGAUUGUAAACCUCUUUUGUCGGGGAGUAACGUGCGGUACGUGUACCGUAUUGAGAGUACCCGAAGAAAAAGCAUCGGCUAACUCCGUGCCAGCAGCCGCGGUAAUACGGAGGAUGCGAGCGUUAUCCGGAUUUAUUGGGUUUAAAGGGUGCGCAGGCGGCGCGUCAAGUCAGCGGU
rnacentral:rRNA from 1 species